AACAAUGAAAGAUUUUUGGGGAGGUAUUGUCAUCUUACUGGGCAGCAUUGGAUGUAACUGGUAUUCUAAUACUGCCUGGUAAUGAUGAUGAUGGCUUUCUGAUUUCAUCGGAGAAGAAU
rnacentral:precursor_RNA from 17 species